AACAAAACUUUCUACCCUUUGUAAACCCUUUUCUUUUAUUUUCAAUUUACUGUAACUGAACCACAAGUGUGCGUCUGUUCUUCGCUCGCUCAACGCCUCCAAUUUCAGUUCCCACUUCGGUUGUCACCUCUGGAUCUCAUCCUCGGUUCCCUUCCCUUUUAUCGGUUAUAGCAGACUCAUGGAACAUUGAAAUUCACAAGUUCAUGCUACCUAGCAAGUCGUUUUGGGAGAAAUCGACAACCAUAAUCGUCAUUCUUACAAACAAUUUAAGUAUCAUAGGUGGGACUCAUCAGAAUAAUACUAUAUGUAUCAUUGUCAUGUUCAUCUUGACGAAAGCUAUUGUUUCAAGUACUAUCAAGGCAUGGGUCCAACCUAUUCUCAGGAGAAAAUUGAUGAACUUAGAGAGUUGUGGAUUACAUUUGCCGGAGAUCAACACGAAGCACAAAUGACGAAUGAGUUCUAACUUUCCGCCUAAAUUUUUUUACCUUCAUCCACUUUUGGACAUAAAUUAUAUUUUUGGAUUUGGAUAUUGAUAUCAUGUGGAUGUGGCUAUAGGCUAGAUUUGAUCUUGUUUAUGAUUUAGAUUAAUAUUGAUAUGUAUAUAUAGUAGUUUUUUUAGAAGUUUAGAAUUAUGAAUAUUAGUUGAAUUAUUUUGUGAUAUAAAGAAUUUUGGAAAUUUGGAAUAUCAUAUGCAAUUUAUUGGUUGUAAGAUCUUAUGGGUUGAGUAUUAAUUAUACAACAGAUACAUGUAUUAUAUUGUCCUGUAAAAAAAUUUGAAUUGUACUGACGACAUUGUUGUGCUGCAUGCUGCAACGCCUACUGUCAAUAUAUAUGUGAAAUGAUAAUUUGAUUAUUUUAAAAAAUAUAUCAUAGAUAACAGUUAUAGGUAAUAACAUGUAUAUAGAUUAUAGGAAAACAUAACAGUUAUUCAAGAUAAGUGUUAAAUUUUCCUUCUUUCAAUUUGUCAUAUAAAUAGCAAACAUAACACUUAUUUACAAAAUGUGUUAUCUAGCUGUAUAACGUGUAUUAUAAAUAAUUGUUAUGUUUUCUCUGGCAAACAUAACACUUUCGUCAGGUGUUAUGUUUACUUUACAUUACAUUGACUUGGAUAACACCUCAAAACUGUUAUGUAA